rnacentral:lncRNA from 1 species
UUUUAUAUUUUGCAAAAUCAGUACUUGUGUAUUUCUAUGGAGAACAUAUUUGCUGAUAAUAUGGGACUUGCAAAGGAUGGACGGAUGGAUUUUAUCAUGUGGAUUAAAAUUGACUUUUGAAGUAUUCCUAAUAUGUGGAUUGAAUAAGAUAUCCAAAUCUUUUUAAUGUGAAAUGGAAAAGGACGAAGUAUGAAUUCUAAUAUGUGAAUUAAAACUGAUGGAUAAUUUGUUAUAGAGCAAGCAUAUAUCAUGGAGAGUUUAUAGCUGUUAACUAUAAAAAUCAACAGAAAAAGUGAUUU